UCUUGAAGCUCAUAAUUUGGUAGAGGCGACCUUCCCUCAACCACAUGUUGAAAUCCAUCUCCAACCUCAUUAAACGUGUGGUUGCAGAAAACAUUUCAGUACUAUUAAAACACAUUUCUUGUGUUAUUGGUGCCUUCUGAUCCACGUGAACCAACAGCGAGGAUGAAGGCUCUCAGUCACGGUAAUUCUAAGUGCUGUAUCGUAGGUAACUGGACUUGUUUCUGUUCCUUGUAGACGUUUCAGCUCUCAUCCAAGAGGCUUCUUCAGUUCUAACUAACUGGAGGGGAGUUGCAGGGUUUUAGACUCUGUGUGGGUGAAACCUCACAGAGUCAUUCAAGGACACGUGUGAGCUCAGGAGUGGAUGGUUGUUAAGCUGCCUGGGGAGGGAAACUCGGUUCCAGUUUGACAUAAACUACAUGAUUCGACGUAAACACAAACAAAAGAGCAAGAAGUCAAGAGCAGCACGGAGCUUCUAAUUGUCUUUCUUGUUGAGAAGCUCUUUGUUCCCCGCUGCCAUGUUCAUGGAUUAAAUUGAGGGGUGAAUGUAAUCCUCGCCUCGGGCUGAGGGUUUUCCAGAUCUGCACAUUCCACAGCAGAGAGACAACACUCAGCGGAGAUGCCUCAAGCGUACCAAAUCUUAAGUCUGUAUGUAGAAGACAAGAAGGGACUAGUGUGCAGUCUACAGUCAGGUACCGCACGAGUGCUUCUUGCAUGAGCGAAAUAAAAAAAAAACUAAUUGGCCAACCCUCAAGACACCAAAGUUACAGCUGCAGCGGCUUCAACACUUUUGCAACGCGGUCUUAACCAAAAAUAUUCUGCCUUCACUCCCAAACUUGACGAAGAAUACUUGCAACAGGAAAACAUUCUCUUCCUGGAGUCAGAGCUCGAGUUUUUCACAAUCGUCCGAAAGAAAUGAACAUAAAUGAACCGUUCUGCCUGGAAAUGAAUGGAAACCUGGUCAGAGUUGUAACAAGGACACAAGUUGCAGUUGUAUUAGCGACUAUUUCAACAUCCAGUCAGGACUUUACAUGCUGGUGAAACAAUUUUUGUGCAACUUUUGUGAAUAAAGUGUUUCAGUGUU